rnacentral:lncRNA from 1 species
GAUAACCGCUAAGCCAAACCGCUAAGAGUAAAUAAUCGCCCAAUCUGCCCGAUAAGUAGCCCUACCUGCUCAUCCUCCCCUUCCUUAGAGUCAUCGGAUUCAACACUAUCAUCACCCUCAGCUACUCUCUGAAUAGCCUCAACAGAGGCAUCCACAACCUUCCUACGCAUUGUUACUACACCAUUUACAUGUUCUUUUACAUUGGUAUAGAAUUCACGAACAACCAUCACAUUUCCCUCGUCCAGCUCUUCAAAGAAGAUUUGUAGCCCCCCACCGAACCAACUCAU